rnacentral:rRNA from 1 species
CGGGUGAGUAACACGUGGAUAACCUACCUAUAAGACUGGGAUAACUUCGGGAAACCGGAGCUAAUACCGGAUAAUAUUUUGAACCGCAUGGUUCAAAAGUGAAAGACGGUCUUGCUGUCACUUAUAGAUGGAUCCGCGCUGCAUUAGCUAGUUGGUAAGGUAACGGCUUACCAAGGCAACGAUGCAUAGCCGACCUGAGAGGGUGAUCGGCCACACUGGAACUUAGACACGGUCCAGACUCCUACGGGAGGCAGCAGCA